ACUCUGUUAUUAGGGAAGAACAAAUGUGUAAGUAACUAUGCACGUCUUGACGGUACCUAAUCAGAAAGCCACGGCUAAAUACGUGCCAGCAGCCGCGGUAA
rnacentral:rRNA from 1 species